UACGUAGGGGGCAAGCGUUGUCCGGAUUUAUUGGGCGUAAAGAGCGUGUAGGCGGCCAGGCAGGUCCGCUGUGAAAACUCGAGGCUCAACCUCGAGAGGUCGGUGGAAACCGUUUGGCUAGAGUCCGGAAGAGGAGAGUGGGAUUCCCGGUGUAGCGGUGAAAUGCGCAGAUAUCAGGAGGAACACCGGUGGCGAAGGCGGAUCUCUGGGCCGAUACUGACGCUGAGGAGCGAAAGCGUGGGGAGCGAACAGG
rnacentral:rRNA from 1 species